rnacentral:misc_RNA from 1 species
GUCCCUACAACAUCCAUUUUAUCCACAGCUGAUACACAACUAAUGAUUCAACUAGGUCAUUUAUUUAUAUUUUAAAUUGCCUUCGAUGCUCUGUCAGAAGCCUACUUAACACUGAAUAAUCUAAAGCCCUGGUUCUUCUAUAGAUCUGAUAAGUAAAAGUGUUUUACAAAUGAGUUCUACUGAAAUAUUUUAAAUGUUUGCCCUUCCCACUCCCAUUUCCUAAUCCCUAUUCCAUGAAGCUUAGGUCAAUACAACAGUUUACAUAUGUUAACAUUUACAGAAGAAGAAUUCAAACAGAGGUGAAAUGAAAGAGACUGAUCUUUGAGCACUUUCCCAUGAAAAUGUUGUUAUAUAUCCUUUGUGAUAUAAAAUUUUAAAUCAUAGAAUUAUAAAUAUUUAUAAGGAACACAGUCAUAUUUUAAUUAAAAAGAAAGGACCAAAAGAAGUUAAAUGCCUUUCCUUUGUCUGUAUGACUGUAUUGUAAUAAAUUAGUCUCUCUGGAUGAAUAUCAGCAAAACUAACUUUCUAUGUAUUUCUUUUGAGUUUCAAACAGGAAACUUUAUCUGGGAAUACUUUAACAGUUCAUCUCUGGAAAUUUACAAGAGCUCUACAACUGUCCAUCGAAACUUCACUAUAAUGUGCUUAAGAGCCCUUAUAUGUGAUAUAAUUUUUAUAUGUUUUCAUCAGUAAGGAUAUCUUUAUGGACAAAUUCCAAAUGACUAAACAUGUAUGUGUAUGUGUGUUUCACACAUUGUCAGCAUAAAGUAAGUUCUUACUGUUAUCGUUAGACUUACACAGAUGAAUAGAUGGACAAAUAGGUAGGUAUGUCUGUUCAGAAUGAUAUUAUCUUGGUUGGAUUGCCAUUAGUAUCAGAAAAGAAAGUGUUCUUUUCAAUACCUAUGAUUUAAGGAACAUUUUGCUAUAAGCUCUAAUAUUUCAUAAUUUCCAUUCAAAACAAUAUACCAAAUGAGAAGGAUGGAAAGAAUAGUCAAGGCUUCUGCCUAUGAAUCAAGACAAUGGAUGUGGGCAAUAAGUCUACCAUGUCUGAAUUUGUUUUGCUGGGGCUCUCUAAUUCCUGGGAACUACAGAUGUUUUUCUUUAUGGUGUUUUCAUUGCUUUAUGUGGCAACAAUGGGAAUAUUUUCAAAACUGUGCUGCUUUUUGCAAUAUAAAACUGUGGAAUCUUUUGGAAGAGACGCUAUUGAUUUUCUGUGCUUUUGUGGAGAAUUCUAAAACUCAAGAACAUUUGCCAAAAUACCCUCAAAGGUGUAGCUGAUCAGCAGACAACUCUAUAAGACAAGAUGCUGACACUCUUUCACCAAGGAUAACUGCAGUGACAUGGCCAUGGACUCGUUAAGCAAUAGUAAGGAUGGUGCCAGCUGCCACCAGAGUUUCCAGAGACAGAGAUAAUGUUCUGCAGAGAAUACAAGAUAAGCAGGCAAGUAUAAUUUUAAGUGAUCUGCACUAUCUGCAAUAACACAACUGAGGGAGUUCUGGAGCAUUUAUAAGAAGAGUGUGUUGACAAGCAACUUCAUCUUCCUCUACGUGUUUAGGAAGCUGUGAAGCUUGACAACAAUUGAAUGCAGAUGGAAAAACUGUUAAAAAUCAGGUAUAGAUAAAAACAGAUAAAGUGUAAAUUUUAAUAUGUGAAGGAACUGGAUAUAUGUAAUAGCAAUAAAAACUACAAAUUAUGUUUGUUUCUAAAAAUGCUUAAGAAAACUUUUAGAAUACUAUAUGGUAUAAUGAUGGUGGAUUUACCAUAAAGCUUGUAAAGCUUAGGUUUUAUAACUCCUCCUUUGCAUGGAUUUCCUCGAAGGCCCUAGAAUGGAAACUAACAACCUUUUAUUAGUUAUUUCGAUUUUUUUUUCCUGAAACAGGUGUCCUCAAACUGUAUAAGCUUUAAGCCUAGCUUGUCCAACCCAUGACCUGCAGGUUGCAUGCGGCUCAGGAGAUGGCUUUAAAUUCAGCCCAACACAAAUUCAUAAGCUUUCUUGAAACAUUAUAAGAUUUUCUUGUGAUUUUUUUGUAAAGCUCAUCAGCUAUCUUUAGUAUCAGUGUAUUUUAUGUGUGGCCCAACACAAUUCUUCUUCCAAUGUGGCCCAGAGAAGCCAAAACUUUGGACACCCCUGCAUUAAAAGGCUCUGCAGAAUCUGAAGUCUAAUGUGUAGUUUUAAAAGUCUUAGACUCUGGUAUCUUUUUUUUUUUUAAACAGUGUUUAAUACUACUUCUACUACUAGUGGUGUAAACUUAAGCUAAGUACUUAAUACCUCUUAGCCUCAGUUUCUACAUAUGUUAAAGGAGAUAAUAGUGGUCUCUACACCACAGAGUUAUUUGAGGCAUAAAAGAAGCAAAUAAUAUGAAGCAUAUGGUUGUCAAUAAAUGUUAGUCAUUGUAUCAUUCUGGGUGAUAACCUCUGGAUAUCUUUGUUUAUGGGACUUGAUAGUCUCUUGAGCUAACACUUGACUUGUUUAAUUUAAAAGGUAAAUUUUCAUUUAUAUGUUUUAAAUAUUCAUGUCUGUAUAUGUGUGUCAGUAUUAAUUUGAAAAAUUAAAAGUAACUUCCACUAGAAAAUUACACUGGUUCUUACAUUAAUUAAAGCUUCUGGAAACUUGUUUUUCUGUCUGUUCACAACUGUCAUUAAUCAAGAGAAGUAUCAAGUUGUUGCUUAAUCAUUAUGCUAUUGCUUCUUUACAAUGAAUAAAUAUUAAAUUGGUUUAUUGAUUUUAGGAUGAAUUCACAUUACAAUUGUUGUCAGAAUAAGAAUGAUGUUUGACUCAUAUUAUUAAGGUGAAGAGAUAGGCAGAUGGAUAGAUUAGUAGAUAGAUGAAGUUUUGUAUUAUAUGAGCUGUCUUAUGUGAAGUAUUUUUCUGCAUUGAUAAGGGUUUAGGAUAAUGUGAUCACUGGAUUAUGCUGCUAUAUAGAAGUUCUUGGUAAAAUGCUGUUAUUUGUGCAUAUCCAGACUCCUUAUGAAAGUAUUUUCAAAUUUAAAAAACUACCAGUGAAUCUAUUCUCUACAUGUGAGUUUUUAAACAACUCAGUUAUAGCAAAAUUUGUUGAGAGAGUUGGAGUAAUCCUCCUAUUUCCCUAUUCUUUCCCUGAUAUUAUUUUGCAUGAUUUUUGGAUGUAUAUGUCAAUUGAAAAACGGGGAGAAGAAAACAGCCAGGGAAAUCUAAUUCAUGUGAACUUCUUGCAUGUACUCUCAGAUGCCAAUGAAAUCCGCUAAGCAACUUGAUAGUUUUUUGGUUUAUAAGUUUCUGUUGUGCUUUGUUGUUUGGAAUUAUUUUUAAUGCUCUUGGUUACACCAUGAGGUAAAUAUGCACAAAUUAUUCUGGAGCGUGUAGGACCAACACUCAAAUGAGACUGGAAAUGUGACUGGGAUCAUUGAUUCAUGUAUUCUGUCUCUAUUGUUGCUAAUAUAACUCAAUUGACAUGUUAUUUUUUCUCUUUGAUUUUUGUAAAACAAACAAAUAAAUUCCAAUAUCUAGUAUGCACUAAAAUACUAUAGUUUCAUUUUUAUUUUUUACUCUGAUAAUUUACACUGCCAAUAUAAGGAGAUGAAUACCUAUUUUUUAAAUUAAAAAAUGUUCUCGGGCUGGAGGCUCCAGGUUUUUUUCCCCCAUUAGCCUUUUUAUGACUACUAAAUGCAAGACCACUGUUAAUUCGCCUUUUUUCUUUGUGUUUUAACUGUACUAGGAAUCUGAAGCCAUCAACAAAAGCCAGAUUUUUCUCCCUUUGCUCACUUGCCACCUGUUAAAGAAAAUUUAAAGGAGAGAUUUUUUUUUUUAGUUUGAGACUAGAAAUAGCAAUUUAAUUAGUAAUUUGUUUUUAUAUAAUAAUAUAUUUAUAUCAAUUUUUUCUUCUUGUUUGAGUGUACUUAUAUUGGUUGUCCUACAGUUAAGAAAACGGAAACCAUUGGGUAAAUUAAGCAGAUUUAAUACAAUGUAUUAAAUGCUUGUGAAUAAUUCAAAGACUUACAGGAACAUGCAUUGGAGGCUGCAACUGGAGCUAUUGUGUUCCAGAGCACAUUACCCCAGUAAUGUGAUGUAAGGGCAAAAGGCAAAAAGCCUUGGUGUCAUUGCCACUCCUUCAUCACCCUCAGCACUCUUGAAGGUGGUGAAUAGUCACUGGACACAGGUAUGGCUGCCACAGUUGCUUUCCCUCACAUCUCAUCAUCAUCUUGCUCACCAGCGGCAAUUAUAUCAGUAGAUCCCUCUGCCUCACUUGUGCUUUCUAAAGCUCAUUUGGUGCAUCUAAUUGGUGGAAUCUAUUUUGCACAGAGAAACUUGGCUUCAAAAAUCAAUUUGUAGAUUUCAAGAUUCUUAUGCAACAGAAAACAUGCUAAUAGAGGGUGGAUUGGAGGGAGACUCCGUCAAUCAAUCAAUAUCCAUUACUUUAAUUUUUUUAUUAUAACCUUUUUAUUGCAGUGUAAAAGCAAGGUAAAGAAAAAUACACAAACAUGUUUAGCUUAAUGAAAUAUUACAAGGCAAACACCAUUAUAAUCACAUUUCAAGUCACAAAAUAGAACUUCGCCAGCCACCCCUGAAGUCCUCAAGUUUGUUCAUCUCGAUGACAACUCUCUCCUCCAAAAUUAACCAUUACCCUGACUUAAUAAAUUAUUUGCAUUUCUUUUCAGUUUCAUGAAUACAUAUAUACUCAAAUAUACAUCCAUACACACUCAAACUUGGCCUCACCAACUUUGUUUCCUUUUCUUGUAGCCUACAAGUCUCACUAUCACUAUCUCUUCAAUUUCUGUAUAAUUUAUCUUUCUUUUUCUUUUUUUUUUCUUUUUUUUUUUUUUUUGAGACGGAGUCUUGCUCUGUCGCCCAGGCUGGAGUGCAGUAGCGUGAUCUCCGCUCAUUGCAAACUCUGCCUUCCGGAUUCACGCCAUUCUCCUGCCUCAGCCUCCUGAGUAGCUGGGACUACAGGCGCCCGCCACCACGCCCAGCUAAUUUUUUGUAUUUUUAGUAGAGAAGGGGUUAUAAUUUAUCUUUUGAAAAACCUGAGUUAUUUACCAUCUAGGGUCUCCCAGAGUCUGAAAUAUGCUGAUUGCAUGCUCAUGGUACAGUUCAACAUGGACUUCUGUCACUGCAUUUUCUGCAAAUUGCCUAUCCAGCAGCUUAAUCAUAUUUAGUUUGAUACUUUUUGCAAGACAAAUGACAGAUGAUGUUAUAUUUUUUCAUCCAAAAGAUCUUGAUGUCUUGCUUUAUCUCUUUGGGAAUGAUAGUGCUGUUGUUGCUGUAGUAGUUGAUAUCUCUAACCAUUUUUGUUGGCUGAAGCUUAUUCUCUACUAUAUUCCUCAGGAAGUCUUCUUGAAGACCCUAUUCUCUGAAUUCUGGCGUGUUGGCAAGUUUCUUUGAAACAUUUAUGUACUGUAAUUUCAUUGGCUAUUCCUUUAUUUUCUUGAUUAUCUUAAAUUGAAAUAAUGACUCUCUUUGUAAGCACUUUGUCUGGAGUCUGCAAAGCCUGUAUUUUUCUUCACUCACCCUAGCAUACCAUAUAAUUAGAAGUUUGGAACUGAUCUUUUAAUUUUUGGAGGGAGGUAUUAAUAAUCCUUCUGAUAUUUAUAUUAGUAGUUAAAUAAUUAAAUAGUAGUUAAAGUAAUUAAAUAGGACUCUAUUGCACUCAAGAGAUUUUAAAACGUUUAAAUUUCUAAAUUUCCUUUAAGUAUAUUAAAAUGUACCUAAAUAAAAUUGUUCUUCAAGAGUAACAUGUAAUUGAAUCAUCAACAUCUUUAUAUAACUUUUCCAAUUUUUUAAAGAAAGAUACCUCUCUUGCAGCUCAAUUGCUUUUUAAAUAAAAUAAAUUUGAAUCCCUGUUUGUACCUGGAGACCGUUUUGAUCUGCCCUCCUCACCUCACAUUUCACACAUGGAGAAAAAAAGUCUGCAC